rnacentral:piRNA from 1 species
UGGUAUCAUGAUGCUGACCCAGGGGACUGC